rnacentral:rRNA from 1 species
AAUGAACGCUGGCGGCGCGCCUAAUACAUGCAAGUCGAGCGAGAAGACGUAGGCAAUACGUUUGUAAAGCGGCGAACGGGUGAGGAAUACAUGGGUAACCUACCCUCGAGUGGGAAUAACUAGCCGAAAGGUUAGCUAAUACCGCGUACGCUUCUUGGACUUCGGUUCAGGGAGGAAAGCGAUGCCGAGGGUAUCGGCGCUCUUGGAUGGGCUCAUGUCCUAUCAGCUUGUGGUGAGGUAACGGCUCGACCAAGGCUUCGACGGGUAGCUGGUCUGAGGAGGACGAUCAGCCACACUGGCACUGCGACACGGGCCAGACUCCUACGGGAGGC